rnacentral:lncRNA from 1 species
ACUUUUUCAUAAAAUUUUCCAUUUUUUAAAAAAUUAUUAUAUCUAAUUAUGUAACAACUUCCUCUUUUUGUUUUAAUUAAUUUUCGUGGUACUCAAAAUCCAAUGUAGUAUCCUUAUUUCUUUAUCUUUUCUUUUCCUUUUUCUUUUUAUUUCUUUUGAGUUGGUAAGCUAGCUGGGGAUAAGGAUGCCACGUGCACCUUACCCCCAAGCAUGCUUAUCACCUUAAUACUUGUGCAUAGUUUAUAUAUAGUUCUUGAGCCUCUACGCAUAUAGUUCUUGAGCCGUACGUAGAGGAGGAGCUCGGGUGGUGUGGAGUUUCGUCGACGUCGCGCAGCGGUGCCGUUCGAGCGUGUGUUCGUCGUCGUAGCAUCGCGAGGGGGGCCGGGCGAGGGUCCGAUUCCGCCGUUUUUGUUGUCGCGCCGGAUUGUGAUUAGCGUUUGAGGUGGGUUACAUCGGCUUUACUCCUAAGUUCUAAUUGGCCGACAUGUAUAGAUCUUGAUUUCGGUAAUUAAUUUAGCUCAAAUUCAUGGACUAUAUGUAGAUUGCGAAAUCUGAAUUUUGGAGCAUAUUUUAUAAAUUAAGUAGAUCAUACAUGUUGGACUUGAAAAUUGAAUUAGGAGAAAACCUGCGAUUUGGACCUGUCACCAGUUUUAACUACCUGAUUUAGCUCUAGGAGCCGUUAGAAAAUUGUACUGUCGCAGUUUCUUCGAGACGAGUACUCCAGGUAGUUUAGAAUGUAUUUACACUCGUGCUGGUUCGCCGAGUGGAUUUUUACAGGGUCGUUCAGGUUGUUUCGGACUGUUGGGUGCCGUCAGAGUUGACGGUGGACCCGUAUCGCCUUUUUGGGCGUCAGAUUGUGCCGAGGGCACUUACCUGUUGGUUGUUAGACCAUUUUGAGUCGAUUACUUGACUUUGGCUAGUUGGAGCCUGUUUGAGCUCGACAGAGAUACGCUGCAUACUCGGUUGGGUAGCGCCCACGAGUGCCACUCCGGAGUCAGGCUUGUGCUUUUGCGUUGGUGUCGCUCAUGCCAGUUGGACUUGCUCUCCACGGACCAGUUAGUGUGGAUAGAGCCCGAUAGUCGCAACGGGGCAGGGACGGGUGUAUUCACAGUCCCGGGGACGGGUAUGCUUACAGUCCCGAUUGGAUUGGGUCAGAUUUGACAUUUCCUACAGUUGGUUAGUGUAGAGCAUGAUAGUGUAGUGGAUGAUAGCGGUAGAGUAUGCUUCCUGCUUUCCUUCUAUCCUUGCUCCCUUCUGUAGACUUAGUGGGUGACCGAUGUUGUUUUGGGCGGUACCCACUGAGGACUACUUGUUUUUACAGUAGUUCUCACGCCCAGUUGUUACCCUUUGUUUUGCAGAGCCACAGGUUUCGGCUGCUGCGCCUUCCGCGGAUCAGGAUCGAGGCAAGGGCGUUGCGAGUUAGAGCCCUACCCGACUGACAGAGCUAGAGGCACCCUUACUGCAGGUAGAUGUUUUGUUUCGAGUUUGUGUACAUAGCUUGCUUAACUCGCCAGUGCGAGUAACCAUGUAUUUUGGAUUUGGACUAUGUAUAUGAAACUCAGUUGUUUAGCUUUGGUUUAUUGAGCAGCUCUAUACUACUGUUUGUAGUAUUGUAUAUCUACAGGUACUUUUGACGCUUCGUAUACAGGAAAAAUUCUUUUGUAUACGGCGGAUUUGUCAGCGUGCCCGGAAAACGAGACAUCCGGGGCUUGACAUCCAAUAUCAUAGACAAAUAAUUUACACAAAUAAGAGUUAAUAUAUGCUCUAAGUAACAUUGAUUUUUCCUUAUGAGGCUCAUUAUUAGGAGUGUAUUAUUUGACUUUGUCCACUAAUUCAUUAACUAAUGGCUUAAUCACAUAAUUAUGGGUAUUAGAACAUUAUGUUAAAAUGAUUGAUUUCAUAUUAUUGCUUUAACAACCAAUUUAAAGGUGAUGCCCAUAUGAGGGCCAAAUAGAAAAAUACUUCAAUGAAUUGAAAAGGAGAUCCGGAAUUAAAAAAAAAAAGUAAUUAAGAUAUUGUCUUUGGCCUUUUUUUUUUUUUUUUAAUGUUCCAUUUAUUUCAGAGAAAUCAUAAUCUGAAAAAAAAAAAAAAACAGUUUGAAGCCUAUUAAUAAUUAUUCGCUGUUGUAAAAGUGGAAGCUUUACAAAUUUGUUUCCGUUUCGUCGAAAACAAUUAGAAGGCCUAGAAAAAUAUUUUCAGAUCAACUAAUAAUUUUUGCACGUUUAGUUCGAAAAGUAUUGUUAUAUGUAAAAUUGUUAAAGAGAACUUAUAUUUCUAAUGAAAAAAAUAUUUUAUUGGUGUGUUAGCAAAUUCCCGCAAUGUAUUAUAAUGCUUAAACAUCUAUAUACUAUAAAUGUUAAUACAGCAACAAUACAUAAAGAUAAUAUUAUAAUUAAAUAAUCCAAAGCUUUUGUUUUUGAAAAAAAGAACCUAUUAUGAGUAAUAGAAACUUAAAUAAGUUUUACUAGAAUACUAUUAUAGCACACCACUCAAUUUACUACGAGUUAUUUUCAAUAACAGAGCUUUCAAGUUGACGAUCGACACAAUUAAAUAUAAUUUAAACUAUCUAAAAAUAAAAAUUGAUAUUCCUUUCGAUAUUAUUCUUUUGUUCAUCAAAUGGAUAUAAAAUAUAUGGAUGAAAAAUAAAAAUUCUUCAAAAAGUGAUGAUGUAAUUUUAUAUUCAUGAAGAUCUGAAGUCUUAUUUUAAAUAAUUUAAAAAAAAUUUGAACAAGAAUUUAACUAAUUUGGACUCUUCUGUGUCGCUAAAUGAGCAAAUGUAUUGCACCAACUGUUUGAUCGUUGGAUUAGUAAUGUCAAAAAAAUAUGAAAUUUAAUUUUUAGAUAAUUUAAAUAAUCUAAAUCAUGUUCAAUGAUACCGAUUGUCGCUUUAAAAGCGCUAUUAUUGAAAAUAAAUUGAUAGUAAAUGGAGCCAUUUACUAAUGAUUGUAAUCCAGUAGAGCUCAAGUUAAAUACACCCCAGGUCAAUCUAAAAUGUUCUUCUUGUGGGCCCAAAUUAAGUCGGGCUUGAGUACAAAUCCAACCAGGUACGAUUUGACGUGGCGAUCCGCCGGCGUUUUAUCAUAUCGAAAUUCAACCAGGUAGGUCCGAGCAUAUCCAUUCAGCCUAGCGGCGAAUCUAGAAAUUUUAUUUAGUGGGAUCAAUAUAUAAUAAAGAGAAAAUAUAAAAUAUAAAUUAAUAAAAUAAGAUAUAAACUAGUCAUUAAAUUGCAAAACUAAAAAAUGUAUUAUUUUUAUUUAUAAACAUACUCAACAUGUUUUCGUAUUCUGAGAAUAAUGUUGGAUAGGUUGAACGAUAACACCGCCAAACACAGAUAUAUAUAUAUAUAUAUAUGUAUAUAUAUAUAUGUAUAUAUAUACAUAUAUAUAUAUAUAUGUAUAUAUGAUAAUAAUAAUGCUAUUAUAUGAUAUAUGGUAUAAUUAUAUAUAAUAAUAUAUAGUCCGGGCUGCUAUGCUAUCAAUACACAAAAAACACUUGGUGUCUAUCAAUUUUCUGUCGUUCAAUUAAUCCCUUUGAUUAUUUUUACCCGAUAGAUAUUACUAUUCAACCAACUAUCCACUUAACCCUAGAGGGCCCAUAUCAUUCUAACUGUACAUUUCUUAAGUUCAGAAUGGUAAAAAACUAAUAAGCAAUAAUUAGGUUGCAUAUUGAUAAUAUUCAGUGAUUAUAAUACUAUUAUUAUAUAUCUAAUUAUUUAUAUUAUAUAUAUAUAUAUCACUAAGCAUAUAUAUGUCACUAAGCAAUCGUUCAUCAAUUGAUCACACAUAUAAUUGCGUAAUUUAUUCUUUAUGAAAUUUAUUACAAAAAAAGCUCUUUCCAAUGUGGCAAGUAGUAACAGGUGGAAUUAAUGUCAACUUUAAAAAUAAAUAAAUUCUUGGAAACACUAUAUUUCUUCGUCUUAAUAAAAGAGAAAAUUUAAGGUUAGCGGAUCAUACAUUUUUAUUGGAUCUACUAUUUUUUUUUUCUAUUUUAUUCUACUGUCCUACUUAAUCCCUCUAUGCUUUUUCGUCAGCCCACUACCACGUAGGCCUAUGAGAUUAAAAAAUAAAAAAUCAUAUUAUUUGACCCCACUUUGGGUCAACUUUGGCGUCAAAGUUGGGUCAACAACUCAAGAUUGGCCAAUAUGGCCUUUUUUUUAACAUAUCUCAGUGGAGUUAAUGGACCCCACUGAGCUCUAUAUCUAUCCACUAAUGAUUUAGCCAAGUUAUACAUCCGAAUAAAUUAUAAAUCUAGCACUCUAUUUAUCUACGAACCUUUAUCCAAAAACUAAACUUACUGAUCUUUUCUUUUAAUAUUAAAAACCUAAAAAAGGCGUAUAUAUUUUUGAUAUAUAUAGAUAUAAGAUUUCAAUCUUAUUUUUGGCUGUAUAAGUAGCAUUUCUAACUAGCUGAAGCUCGAACGCUUUUCAACUUAGAAUCUAGCUUGCUCAGUUAUUAAAUAAGGUAAGUUCAAGCCGCCAAUAAAAAGGAAUUUUAUUCGCUUGAGAUUGGCCUCUGUCGACUCGAAUCGAGCUCGAGCCAGCUCGAGCCCCCCGCCUUUGGCUAAUCGAGUCGACCUGAGCUCAACUAUUGUGCUCGGCUUGUGUACACCUUAAAAAAAUAAAUAAAUAAACUGAACAAAAUAUAGUAAUUCUCAAUCUGUGCCUUGUUGAUCCAUUUAUACAUGUCAAAUAUUUUUCUUCAAAAUAAGUAACACAAUAUGCCUACCCAAAAUCUUUUUCGUUUUUUUUUUGGCCACAAAUUUUAUGAAGUUAGCUUCAGAUUUUAAUUAGGAUUGAAGCAUGUAAUCGAUUUGGGCCUUGGUGGGCCUUGGAUGGCCCAAACAUAACUUGGCAUUUGCCGAAGCCCAAACGGUAGAGCAGCUUUUCUGUUUCAAGAAGCACCGUGAACUUUUAUUCGAGAAAAAAAAGAGAGAUUUUGCUGUGGUGUGUUUUAAAGUAAUCAAUCGAGCACUAAAAAUGAACAAAUUCAAUUUGAAACUGUUAUAUUCGAUAUAAUAGAAGGUGUCGAGGGAAAGCUAAUUUAGUCGAGUAAUCGAUAAAUUUUAGAAAGAGUUUACGGAUGAGUUUACUACGCUUUCGGCCACGUCUCACUUAACCCUCAACACAAAAAAUAUCAUUAAACUUAAUCUUGUAUCCUUGGCAAAUGAACUACAUUGAUUGUUAGAUAAAAUGCGGAUUCUUUUAACUUCUAGUAUCGAUGGUUUGUAUCUGAUUUUAGUCCUCCAAUUUAAGUGCCAACAUAUGAAAAUAUUCAUACAUAAAACCGAAGUAACUUACCAACUCAUUUCAACGAAUUUUUGCAUCCAAAUUUCAUAGUCGUUCUAAAAUUUUAGUUUUAUUUGGGACAGUAAUAUACUGCAGGUUAAAAUCGACAAAAAUUUGAAAAAUUUUAAAAAUGUACUGUCUUUGAGAAAUUUGAUCUCAGAACUCACAGUACUUCUGCAGCAGAAAUAAGACCGUAUAGAAUCAUUAGGGUUAAAAUGUGACAGCAAAAGUUAAAUUAAUUCCUGAUCAAUUUUGUACCCAACUGAUCUGAGUUGUGUAUGAAAAUGUGGUAAAUUAUGGCUAGUCAGUAAAGAACUGCAGUGGCUCUGUACAAGUCAGAAGGGUUCAGAAAACAAGGUGGUCUAGCUGCAGGGCAUUUAUAGCUAGCUGCCUGCAGUUGCAGAUCACAUGUCAAGUUAAUGGACAUUAAAAAUAGGAGGAAUUCUACACUGUCACACUUGCACCACGUCAUCAAUAACAAGUCAAUCACAUUUGUUCUUUUCAAAUAAAAGUACAAUAAAAAUACUUUUUUACAAUCAUGAUGGGACAUAUAUUCUUAAAAUGAUUAAUUUGAUUGGUUUGUUACACCACGUCACUAGUAUACCCGUUGCAUUCUAAAAUUUUUCUAAAAAUAGAAUUAAUUUUAUACAUGUCUCUACAAAUAUAGUGAAUUACAAAUAUAUUCCUACAAAAUUUAAUUUUUAUAUAUGGUAUAAUUGUAUAUAUACAUUUUAAAACUUUAGAAAUAUCUUAUUUACCCAUACUUUUUUUUUUUUCUUUCCAAUAUAUCCCUCAUAUGUUCCUCCGUUAUUCCAAAAUACUUCUGCAGUUACCACCCUUUAAGUUAAUUUGAGUUAAACGUGAAUUAAAUAUCUACUAGAGUUUAAAAAAAAAACUAAAAUACCUCUUUUAUUCUUAACAUAACGGUAAAUAAGAAAUAUUGGUUAUGGUAGAAAGGUAUACUUGAAAAGACAAAAAAUCAAAAUACUUUUUGUUCCCCUAUCUAAAGGGUAAAUAAGAAAAAUCGGUUAUGGCGAAAUAUUUGAAAGGGUAAAAUAGUAAUUUCAUACUGAUAACAGUUAUUGUUAACAGUUUAUUAACGGAAUUUAACUCUAGAGGUAUAUUUCAAAUAGUUGGAAUGUAAAAAGGGUAUUUUUAAUAUUAGCCUUCUAAAAAAGGUAAUAAGAAAGUCAUAAACUUUUCAGAAAUAUAUAAGCAAUUGCCCCUUUAUAUGUUGUCUCUGCAAAAAUCUUAAUGUUUUUAAAUAUAUUCUUAUGGUUUGUUACUGUUAAACAACUGUUUAUUUUAUAAGUGAAAUGACCUUUUUGCCGUCACAAAUAUGUCCCUCCAAAAAUCUUAACUAUUAAUUGGAAAGGGCUAAAAAUAUCAAUUCACCUCAUUAACUAAUUACGGUUAAGUAUUUUACAUAUGGUUAACUAAUAUUUUCUAACGGAUCGUAAUAGCACAUAUUAAUGUGAUUGAUGUGAUUUCUUGUUACUAGGGCAAUUUUCAUCUAAAUUAAUAAAAUUAAUUUUGAGUCUAAAAGGCAGAAAAUGUUUUUCAACAAAUAUCCACUUUUGCACUUUAUCUCUAUAUAUAUUUUUUUAAAUCUCUAUUUUGUUAUUUUAAAAUUUAAAAUUGUAUCACUUGAUUAUGCGCAUAAACUAUUUUGCAACUAUUAUAUAUACAAAUUAUGUAGUACAACCAAUUUACUAAGAUACUCAUUAUAUUUUUAAAACUAUAUAAGAAUGAGGAAUGCUAUUUGUACACUCCUAAUUCCUAAAUUAGGAGAAAGUUUCCUAUACGGCCGUCACACAAUGUCGCAUGUCUCUCAACUAAUCAAAUUUUUUUUAUUUAAGAAAAAAAUUCAAUAUUUUUUAAAAAAAUUAUGAUGGGCUGAGCGAACCCUAGGGGUCAAAUGUGAUUGAUUAGCGACACUAUAUCAUCUAUGACUAUCACAUUUUUUUAAUUUUUUUCUAUAUUAUGCAUACAUCUUAUAUCUCAUUCAUCUAAGAAAAUCUUUCUCCACUAAUCUUACCAAUUUUUUUUUAAAACUAAAACCGAUUUGAUUUUCUAUAAACUUUAUGAUGGAGUGGGUAUAAGAUUUACAUUUAUAUAUAGGUAUACAGAUAGCAUAUUCCUAUAAGAAUAUUUUUGUGUUUCUUAAAUUAGCUUAUUAUAUUGAGGUUUCCUACUAUUUACUAAUUAAAUUUUAGUUUUUCAUCAUUUUUUAAGAAUGAAGUUGUGUAUAUUACUAGUUAUCUAGUUGUAUCAUACUGUAUAUGAAACAGUAACAAUAUUGAUUUACCACCACAAUAUAAAUUUAAGAGGACAAAAUAUAAGUUUCUUUUAAAAAAAUAAUGAGGUAAAAUGUAAAAACACUCAUUUAUAAAAGAAAUAUUUUAUAGUUUAACCCUAAUAAAAAUUCUAUGGGACGGGAGACAAUGUGUACCAUUGCGUGAUUAACCCCUCAACAAAUUUCUAACCUUUUUCUAUUUCUUUUUUGACUAAAUUACAAAAAAAUUUUAUAAAUACUUGUUUUUUUUACUUUUUCUUUCUAUUUUUUAAAAAUCUAUAUUGUAUUCCCUCAACAUUUUAAGUUGUUGCAUUAAGCCUCCAUCCGUCAGGAUUUCAUCAUUCUUCUGUCUAUUUCUUAUUAUUUAUACUAAAAAUAAUUUUUAAAAUAACAAAAAUAUAUUAAAAAAUAUUUUUAAUAGAAGAAAUAAGAAUAAUUAGGACAUUUUUCUAUCUCGUUAAUAUCGUACCCACUUGAAACUAUUUCUAAAAUUUGUAAAAAAGCAAAAUAUAAAUUUUUUAAAAUAAAAAAGAAGUAAAAAAAAAAUAUUUUUAUGACAAUGUUUGGAUCGGGGAUAAUGGGAGAGAUAACCCCUUAUCCGUCCCUUUAUAUCCAAAAGCAAAUUUUUUAUCCGAGAAUAAUAGUUCUCGGAUACUUGAAAUAAUCUGGUAUAACUAUUCCACCAACACCUCUAUUUUUUAUAUAUAACUAUCCACUAUUUUACGUUAUUUUUUUUUAUCCCAGAAACAAUCUAAUUUUUAUCCAAACAUUAUUUUUUCUAUUUGUAUUUAUCACUGUAAUAAUUAGUUCUUACUUAUAUCCAAACCAAACGUUAUCUAUAUAUAUAUAUAUAUAUAUAUAUUUUUUAUAUUUUAUUUUUGUAAAAAAAAAAAAGGCCUUAUUCUUGAAUCGCUUUCGUUUGCAUUCUACUGUCAUUGUCCGAGCAUUUAAAACAGCAAACCUACUCCACAUGACCAACAUCGAUCAGAAUAAUUAAUUAAUGAAUGAAAAAGGAGGCUUUACGACGCAGCGAUUAUCAUUUAUUGCACCACCCAUGUACCGAAUCCCAGAUUUCAAUACCCCUCGUCCAAUCCAUUUCCGUGUACGGAUCCAUCCAUAUGCGACUUUUUUUUUGUGAGGGGUAAAGCGCUUUGGCCUUUGAGAAGAAGCCGCAGCACCGUUUAUUGCGGGUGAAAAUUGUACGCAGGCCCCUCAACGAUACGGCGUUAUGAAACAAGCCCCCUUCACUUUCUUUGUUCUCGCAAAUUUGUGUUUUCUUUUUUGGCUAAAUUACAGAAAAUCUUCCAUCAAAAUUUGAUUUUUUAUUUUUCCUUCAUGUCAUUUAAAAAUCUACCCUUUGUCCUCUUGUAAAAUAAAAAAUAUUCACAGGGAUACGGUGUGAACUGUGAUGAUAAAAUGACCAUUUUGGCCCUCAUCAUUUUGCCGCUCACUAUAUUUACAGAAAAGAAGGUUGAAGGCAUUUUUGGCAUAAAAAUAUAAAUAAUAAUAUUUUAUAAAUGGAAUACUAAUAGAUUAUUAACGGCAGGGGACAAAAUGAACAUUUUUCAUUUUACAAGGGGGCAAAGUGAUGGGACAAAAUAUAGGUUUUUAAAUCACAGGGAGAAAAAUGAAAAAUUAGGUUUUGACAGGAGGUUCUAUGUAAUUUAGCCUUUUUUUUAAAAAAAACUUCAAAUAUCACCCCUAUAGUUUCACACUUUUUCACUUUAGUAUUCUGUGGUUCAAAAUGUAUCAAUUUACUGUCCUGUGAUUUCAUUAAUUUUUAUCUUUUUAUUAUAGACUUCAUUAAUUUUUUUCGUUAAAUCAGUGACAAAAUUAAAAUUAAAGAGUACUAAAGUGAGUAUUCGAUAAGCCUAGGUAGAGUAUCUGAAGCAUUUUAUAUAUAAUUUAACGAAAUAUUAACGGAGAAGCUGACGAAAAGAUAAAAAUGAAACUACAGGACACUAACUCGAUACACGUUAAAUCACAGGAUACUAAAAUGAAAAAGUACGAAAUCACAGGGGUGGUAUCUAAAGAUUAAUAUGUUAUUCGUUUCGUUUAUUUUUUAAAAAAAUAAACUUAGGUAAAAAUAUGAAGCAAUUAGAUUUCGAAUUUAAAAUCUCGAAUACAAAUCAUCAAAUUUUUCACCACCUUUUUUUUUUUUUUUUUUUUUUCUGGUCGACACUUGGUAACGUCCAACUUCUUUUAUAUGAAUUUUUCUAGCUAGUUAAAUUAUUGUUUAAAUAUAUUAGCUCUAAUAGCUAUUAAUUGUUAAUUAUUUAGUUUAUAUUUUAUAAACACAAACUAAAAUAAAUUAUCAGAUUUGAUAGAAUUAUUUCUGAUUNUCGUAAUUAAAAAAAAAGGUAAUUGCAUACAACUUCCUAUAAAUAUAUCGAAUAGCAAAUACAUUCUUACACGGUUAAACUUUUUAUUUUCAUCCUUACAAAAAAAAAAAUUUGAUAGGGGUUUUGGCGUACUGGUAAAUAAAUUUAAAAUAAUUAAUAAUUAUUAGUUCGUAGAUUGGUUCAAUUUAAUUAAAUUUUUUCGAAUAAUAAAUAUUAAAUGUUCGCCCUCGCUGUUUGAGAAAGUGGUGGACAUUUGACGAAAUAAAUACGUCAUUAGAUGGUGUGAAUAUUAAAGUAAAAAAUUAAGAAACUUAUCUGAAAUAUAAAUUAUUUUGAUUCCGUUGCUCAAUCUUUUAAAGUUUUUAAUUUUACUAUUCAAUUUUUCUAUUUAUUUGAAUUAAGUGAAUCGAUAAUAUUUUAACUUUAAAAAUUUAAACUAAUUAUUUAUUUUAAUAAAAUUAUAAUUGUACAAAGUUGAUGGCUUAAAUCAAAUAAAUUAAAACGAAAUGCUGAUGGUAUACCCUUCUGAGGGUGUAGGAUAUACACCACACCCAUCAAGUAACUAGUGGACAAUAUUUCACUCUUGAAUGGGUGGGAUGUAUCUUGUACGCUCCUACUGGGGUGUACAAGAAAUAUUUUUUAUAAAUUAAAGAGUAACUUCAAAUACAACUUCUGUGGUUUCGCACUUUCUUGCUUUAUUAUCUUAUGGUUUAAAAUGCAUCACUUUAAUAUCAUGGGGUUUUAUUUUUCUCUUUCAGUCAGCAUCUCCGUUAACUCUUUGUUAAAUUAUAUAAAAAAAACUUCAGAUACCCCACUUAUGAUUUAUUGAAUAUUCACUUCAGUGUCAUGUGGUUAUCGAAUUUUCAGUUUAGUACUCUGUGGUUUUAACUUUGUUACUGAUUUAACGAAAAAAGUUAACGGAGGAAAUAACGGAAAGAGAAAAAUGAAAUCAGGGGAUUACUAAAGUGAUACAUUUUAAAUCAUAGGGCACUAAAGUGAGUAAGCGCGAAACUAUAGAGGUGGUAUUUAAAAUUUUUUCUAAAUUAAAAAAUUAAAUAAUAAAAUUAAAAUUUUGAAAGAUUAGACAUGAAUAAGAUAAGUCCGGUACAUUUUUUUCCUAUAAAAAAAAGAUUAAUUUCAUAUAUGUUCCUGCAAAUAUAGUGAAUAACAAAUAUAUUUCUACAAAGUUCAUCUUUCAUAUAUUGUCUUUUCAAAAGUCCCGUUGUUUUCAAAUAUGUUCAUGCCGUUAGAAUUCGUUAGAAAAAAUUAGUUAACCAUAUGUUAAAUACUUAACCCUAAUUAUUUUUGAUAUUUUUACUCCUUUAUAUUAUACUAGUAUGGCUUUUGGAGGGAUGUAUUUGUGGUGACAAAAUUGAAAAUAUAAACGGUUCUCUAAUGGUAACAAACCAGAAGAAUAUAUUUGAAAAUAUUAGAAUUUUUGCAGGGACAACAUAUGAAAGUUGAACUUUGUAGGGAUAUAUUUGUCAUUUACUAUAUUUGCAGGGACAUGUAUGAAAUUAACCCAAAAAACAAGAACUAUUUACUUGUCCAGCCUCUUUACAAAAAAAAAUUCUCUAUCUAGUCUCCUUUUGAAAAUAUUCCCAAUCUAGCCUCAUUUUUAUAUUUUUUUUAAAAAAAGAUAAGUUAAUAAUUUUUAUAUAGAUUAAUAUGUUAAGUGGGUGGAGAUUAUUUUUUUUCUCUCUCCUUUUAAAUUAAGUGAAUGUAAUGUGAUUUUAUAUAUGAACACUUUUAAAUUAUAUUGACUUGUAUAAUCAAAUUAAGUACUAGUAGUACUAAUUAAAAAUUAUAAUUUAGAAAUAUUAUUAUUAAUAAAUAAAUUUUUUAUUAAGUAUUCAUAUAUAAAAUCACAUUAUAUUCACUUAAUUUUAAAGGAGAGAGAAGAAAGAUAAUCUCCACCCCCUUAACAUAUUAAUCUAUAUAAAAAUUAUUAAUUUAUCAUUUUUUUCUUAAUCUAUAAAAAUGAGGCUAGAUUGGGAAUAUUUUUCAAAAGGAGGCUAGAUAGGAAUUUUUUUUUUGCUAAAUUACAUAAAACCCCUUGUCAAAAUUCGAUUUUUCACUUUCUCCACUCGUCAUUUAAAAACCUACAAUUUGCCCUCUUGUAAAAUAAAAAAUGUUCACUUCGACCCCUACAGUUAGUAAUCAGUUAGGAUUCCGUUUAUAAAAUAUUAUUAUAUAUUUUUUUAUGCAAAAAAUGUCCGCAGCCUUCUCUUCUGUAAACAUGGUGAUGGGCAAAAUGAUGAGAGGGAAAAUGGUCAUUUUAUCAUUACAGUUCACACCGUACUCCUGUGAAUAUUUUUUAUUUUAUAAAGGGGCAAAAUAUAGGUUUUUAAAUGACAGGGAGGAAAAUUAAAAAAUUGAGUUUUGACAGGAGAAUUUUCUGUAAUUUAGCUUCUUUUUUAUUAUUAUUAUUAUUAUUAUUAUUAUUAUUAUUUUAAAGAGGCUUGACAAGUAAAUGAAUCAAAAAAACAAUAGGAGGGGCAUAAUCUAUACCACUUGUAAGUAAGGGGUAUCCAUACAAUUUUUACCUGAUAAUAUCUCAUCCUCUCUCCGACCGAAGAAAAUUCCUCCAAUCGCUUGACGUGACACUUCAAUAAGCUAGUCCGCCUGACAUGUACACCGAAAUCGGGUGGGGUCAACCAACCCGAACCCUACCACCCACACAGAAUUCUCUUCCUACGCCUGGUGCAUCCGUACAUUUCAUGCACCGCAUUCUCAAAACAGUCCCUCAAAAUAUUAUAAACUAUUCAUUCACAAAACAUUAUUAUUCGACAGUAAAGAAAUUGUAUUUGCUAUUCGCUUUUUAAUCCUUAAUAAAUUCAUAAUUAGGAGAUAGGAAAUACUAUUUCUCUACUAUUAAUAGCAUUUUAAUUUUUUUCCUAGUUAAAUAACCUAAAUCUUAAAAAAUAAUAAGUUUUAAAAGUCUAUUUUCUUAUAAAUUUGACAUUCUCCUUGAACUAAUUUUCGGAAUUGCUGACAUUUUUAAUUCCUUAACAGUUGAGUAACAGAUUUUAAUAAUUUAUAGUAUAUUCGCAUGUAAAUUUCUUAGUAUCCUUCAAACUCUAAGAUAUAGGAUCCUCUCAUUAUUCUUUCGAUAUUGUAAGUUAUAUUGGAUCAUAUUCGAAUUUAAUGAAAUUAAUAAUCAAUCAAAUAUUGCCACUGGUGCAUGAGACGCCAAUGCACGAGGUGCAGGCAACAAAUUUCACACCACCCCCACCUCCUCCCCCAUUGUGGGCCCCGCACACUCCUUCGCGCAAGCCCAACCACGUGACCAGUGACCACACUCAUUCUACAAACUUCCAAAUUCGACCCGUUUCGACACCUUUUUAACUCCGAUGAGAUGAGGUGUGCCACACACCCUCCACAUGCUUAAUAAAACGCCUCCAACCUCUCCAGCAAUAUAUAACCCCGUUAGUAUUACCAACAUAGUAACAACGAUGAACAAUAUUCCGGACUAACAUCCAACUGCUCUAAAUAGUGAUGAAAUAAUUAAUAAAAGCCUUUAUCAUUAACUCAUUUAAGAGAUGGAGAGAGUUCUAGACAGAGAGGGGGUGGGAGAGUACUAGAAAGCCAGCUCAGCAAUUUCUUGCACCAUGACAAAGGACAGAGUAGGGAAAACGAAAUGGCAAUGGGCUUGUCCGCGCCAAAAGCUACAGAGUAGGGGGUACGGCUUUUUGUAAGAGCGAAAAGGACCACUCAGUAGCGCAAAAAGAAACCCAUUGGCGACUAAGGAAAAGCACUUCUUAGGAGUAGCCCCAGCAUGCAUUAAUUAUAGCUGCUCCCGAACCCAUCUAUAUAUCUACUUCAUCAGUAGGCCAAACAUCAGCUUCUUCACAGCUCGCNGGGGGGGGGGGAACGAAGAAAAAAGGAAAAAGUGGGUAGUGAUCAUGAUAUGUGAAUUUUUAAGUGUCAAAGAUUUUAGAACUAAAUCUGCCUAACUACACGGUGAAAUGCAAAAACAAAAUGAUAGUGAGACGUAAAUGCAGUAAAUAUUAUAAGAGUUCGACUCAGAGGAUCGUGAACGGCGCACUCGACUUGAAUGGAUUUGCCAAAUGAUCCUCAAUAUUCUGGCUCUCAAAUUAGGGCGGCAGUAGUUAGUUCGGAUUUUGAUGAGAUCUUCUUAUUCUGCUGUUAGUGCGCCUUUCGCGUGAGCCAAGAACUCCCACAUUGUGUCGGCUAGCGGGGCGGAUUGGCGGUUUGGAUCGGGCGCCACGCCGAGGCGGUGAGGAGGCAAAGGUCCUUCCACCCGAGCUUGAGCGCGCCGUUCUCCUCGACGAGCGUGUAUCCGUCGGAGGGGAACAUGCCGAGGAGGAGCGUGGCCUGGGCGGCGGCAUUGCCCGCGAGGGAGACCGAGCGGAAUCCCGACUGGGCCAGCUUCUCGCGCCAGUUGCCGAACUUGACAUCCCCGGACCGCGCCGGGCCGCCCACGGCGAGCACGUUGCGGAUCUCGCGCGACAGCAGCUGCUGCUCGACGACGUGCCGCUCGGGGCUGUCCUCGCCGUAGCUGGCGCCGAGCGAGUCGAACAGCGCCGAGUAGUAGUGGAUCGCCUCGACGAACCGCGCCAGGAACGAGCCCCCCGGGCUCAGAUCCUGCUCCACCAUCGUCACCACCUUCGGCGCCAAACUACAUCAACCAACCAAACAAACAAACAAACAAACAACAAAUUUUCAAACUAGUUUUCUUUUUUUUUUUUUAACCCUAAUAAAAUUUCGAAUCUCAUGUAAUGCGUGUAACACGUGAAAAAAGAAUGGAUAAAAAUCUUAUCAAAAGUCGUACUACUCUUCUAAUACAGUACGCCAAUCCGUCUAUUAAAUCCCCCCCUCCUAAUCAUGGCAACUAAAGAACACUGAGAUUAUGGAAAAAAAGGGCAAUGGCUUCAAAAGUUAGUCAUAAUGACUACUUUUAGCUUUACUUGUGUAAUCUAUAAAGUAUUUUAAUAAAAGUUCUUUCUAGCUCCACAUUUUCAAGAGACAAAAAGUGCUUAACACCACACCAUAAUAAUAGUAAUAAUGCAAGAUGAAAAAAAAACAAGAAGAAGAAGAAUAUAUGUAUAUAUAUGGUUGGAGAUUGGGCAAACACAAGCGAUUGAUUGAGAUCACUUCCGUCUUCGUGCUAGAGCACAAGAUCGGCACAGAAACCAGUCAGAAAUAUGAUGCGCCCGUACUGUUUCCAAGUUCUAUAUAUAUAUAUAUAUAUAUAUAUAUAUAUCCUCUCCUCCCCCCUCUCACCUUCUUUCUUUUCGUUUUUUUUUUAAAAAAAAAAAAAAAGAAGAAGAAGAAAGGUUUGAUUAAUUAAUAUUAGAAAGUUCCUUUGUGUUAAUAAUUAGUACGUAGUAGUGAUUGAUUGAUUAAUUAACAAUCUGAACGAUGUAUAUAUCUUGUUUGAUUGAAAUGCAAAAAGAGGUAAUUAAUGGGAAUGGAGAUCAUGAAAGAAGAGGGUAAUGUAAUGUACCGCUGGAGGAGCCAGAGGGUGUUGGUGUCGGAGCCGGUGACGUCGUAGAGGGAGUGGUGGAGCCAGUGGACGGCGAGGGCCUCGCGGCGGGAGACGCCGAGGCGGUCGGGGUCGAGGUUGCCGACCUUGUCGGCGACGGGGUGGAACUCGAAGGGGAGGCCGAGGGUGUCGGCGAAGUCGGAGAGGCGCUUGCCGGUGGCCUCGAGGGCGUCGAGGGAGGCGCCGAGGCCGGUCAGGCGGACGCGCGGGGGCCCGCCGGGGCGGGAGGCGAGGAUGUGGAAGAGGCCCGGCCACUGCAGGCCCUGCAUGAUGUCCAGGUCGAUGAUGUGCACGCGCUCCUCGCGGUCGAACGCCUCCUGGAUCGCCUGGUUCGCCGUGAAGUGCGAGAACUUCACGAACGGGCUGAUGCCGUUGAACACCUGGAAGGCCGCCGCCAGCCGGUGGUGGACCCGGAGGGCCGCCGGGGACGACGCCGGCAGCGGGGCGUAAAGCCCCAGGCAGGAGCUGACCAGCCGGGCCGACAUGGCCUCCGAGAAGUAGGCCGCCACGCGCUGGGCCGAGCUGCCGAACGGGGUCGCCAGCUCCGAGAUCUCCAGCAGCAGCCGGUUCGCCUCGUCCAGGUUGUCCGCCGCCACCGACUCCGCGCACUGCAGCAGCAGCGUCAGCAGCUGCAGCCCCUCCUCGUCGCGCUUCUGCUGCCGCAGCUCCUCCUUGCGCGCCCUCGUCGGAGGUGGAGCUGCGCUGGGGCUGGGGGUCGGAGGAGCAGGAGGGUUGGGGGUUGGGGAGGCGAUGAUGAUGAUGAUGAUGAUGAUGAGGGGGAGGAGGAGGAGGAUACGCGGGCUCCUCCGGCCAGUUGGGCGGCUGCUGCUGCUGCUGUUGUUGGCUUUGUGGCGACUUGGGAAGAGGCGGGGCCGGUGGGGGCUGGGGCGGGGGAGGGGCGAGCUCGCGGCGGCGAGCUUGUCAGGCUGGGCGCGUCGGAGGGGAGGGAGGGGAGCGGCGGCGGCGGCGGCGGAGGAGGAGGGAGAGGGUCGGAGGAGGCGAGGGAGCGGAGGCGGUGCUCGAGGACGGCGGCGAGGGCGGGGUUGCAGGGGUGGAUGACCUCGCGGACGUUGUGGAUCAGCUGCGGGAUCGACACCGCGGGCGCCGCGCUGCUCAGGAGGUCGCGGAUGAUCCCGUCCACCCACGCCGACGCCGCGCCCUCGUCCGCGCCGCCGCGGCCCGCCACCCCCUCGUUCGCCGCCGCCGCACCCCCCCCGCCGCCCCGCUCGAGCUCCGCCGGGAACAGCGGCAGCCCCGAGAACCCGCACACCGCCGGCGCCGGCGGGGGGAGAGACGGAAGGAACUGCGUCGGGUUGCCCCCGUGCUGCACCAAAAUCGGGGCGUCCAGAGCGCCGCCGCCGCUCGAAGCCGAAUACAGAAGCGAGGAGGGGUGCCCCGCCGCCGCGCUCUCCGCGAACGGCCCCUGCGCCGCGGCCGUGGACGAGGAAGCCCCGCCACCCGCCGCCGCAGCACCGCCUCCGCCGCCGCGACGAGGGAGUCUGGGGUUGUGGUAAGAAGAUGAGGAGGACUCGUGCUGUAGAUCGAGCUCCGAGGCGGGGCGCUUCCUCACCAUGAUCACCUCGCCCACCUGCUGCUGCUGCUGCUGCUGCUGCUGCUGUUGUUGCUGCUGCUGGAGAUAGAGGAGAUAAAGAAGCUCCUUUUCCUCUUCAGAGUAGUGCGAGAAGUGAGAAUCAUGAGAAGACGACGUCGUGUUUGUGGUUGUGGUUGUGGUUGUGGUCGGGGGCAGGAGCAGUAAAGAGGAGGAACCCAUCAGAAAAAACAAAGGGAAAGGGCUCGGCGCAUGCUAGUGCAGUAGAAGAAACGGUGAGGUGGUAGUAGCAGUAGUAGUAGUAUGAGGAUGAGGAAGAGGAGGAGGAGGAGGAGGAGAGUAAAGAGGAAGAGGCCGAGGAGCAGAAGCCGCGCAGAGAACAACAACAACAACAAUAACACGGGAAUAAGCACGAGACCAAUAGUAAUACUAAUAAUAAUAAUAUUAUUAUUAUUAUUGUUACUAUUGUUAACAGAGGGGGAGGGGGAUAUAUAUUGCUUAUAAAGCGGGUGCGCAUUGGGGUACGCAUAAGGGGUCGGGGACGGCUCCAAGCGAAAAACGGCGGGGCGAUUCGGACAUGGGGGUGAGGGGUUGUUGUUCGGGCCUGGAUUCGACGCUAAUAAGAAAGAACAACCUGUUGCAGCGUUUCCUAUUUCUCUCUCUCUCUCUCUCUACCACUGUAAUUUUUUCCUUUUUUCUUUUUUUUUUUUGUUUCCCCCCUAUCUCUCUCUCUCUCUUACCUAGAGGAGAGAGGAGAGAGGAGAGAGGAGAGAGAGAGAGAGAGCCGUUGCCGUUGUCGCGCUCGGCGCUCGCGCGUCGCUCGGGGCGCGUCGGGAGACGACGCGAAACCCCAGGCGAGGGAGGUGAGAGGGGUGGGAAAAAUCGGGUUGGCUUUUUUUCUUUUUUUUUUUUUUUUCUUCUCCGCCGUGCGAUUUGUGCGGUGGGAUUAAUGAAAAGGUCGGAUUAAACAACGAGCAUCCAAAAUGCAUGCAGACCCUUCUACUUCAUCUUAUUUCGAUUGACACCACCAAAGAUCUUCUUGGAAUGUGCGAACAUGCCGCUUCCUAGUUAAAAAAAGGCAAAAAGAAAUUCAAGAAUUUUUAAAUUUUAUUUUAAAUUUUUAGUAUUGAAAGAUUUAAUAAAAUUAGUGAAUAAAUAUGUGUCCUUGGAAAACUGCAGAGUGUACCUCAUUUUAUCAUCCUAUAGUUAGAAAAAAAAAAAACAAUGCUUUAUUCUCUUUUGAUUUUUAUUUUUGUCUAAUCAUAAGAAUUCGAUCUUUAAUAGAAUAACAAACUGAUAUAAUUAUAAACCACAAAAUAGUAAGAUACAAUAUUUGUAUAAAUCACUAAAAAAAGUAAAAUAUAGCAUUUCACUAGCCUCUAAUUUUCUGAUAAAUUAAUGAUAAAAUUAUAGAUAAUAAAAUAAUAUUUUUUAAACUGUAGGAUGAUAAGUUUGGGGGCCUAUUUUAAAACAUUAUUAUAUAGUAUUUUUUAUCUUAAACUAAAUUAGUAAAGAGGGUAGGCUUUUUCAUUUGACUUGGAAAGGUUGUUUAGGUCUUAGUUGGGAUGUGGGGGUUAUGGGAAAGGGUGUGAUAAACAAAUUUAGUUCUUGAUUGUGGGGUACUGUGUAAAAGUGUUACAAAGGGAGAAAAAAGGUGUGUUGGACUUUGGUCCUAUUUCUCUCUCUCUCUCUCUCUCUCUCUCUCCUGAAACAAUUAGAAAAGGUUUUUUUUUUUGUAAAGAGAAAUCUUAGAUAGUGGAGCUUUUUGAGAUGUUGAGUAUAACUGCUGUUUCCAAUUAUCAUUGCAUUUGGUUGGGUGAGCUUUGACUUUGAAACUUUUUUUCUGGGGUUUGAGUUUGAAAUUAUUACAUAUAUUUUUUGUUUUAAACUUUGUUUGAAGUUUAUGUAAAAAUUUACAAGUUAUUGUUUAAAAUAAAUCUUCUUCAUGAAAUAGAGAAAUUAAAAUUUGUGAGUAGCUCUUAUUUUUGUAUGGAUAUUUGAAGCUUUAUCUGAAAUCAUAACUAAAUAUAAUGCUUUUAACCGAAUAUAAAAGAGAAUGGUGUUGGUGAUGGGGUUGUAGAAAGUGAUAUAUGCGCCGAUACCAAUCGAUUGUAUUACGUAGGAUUUAGAUUGCAUGUUUAGAGAUAAAAUAAGUUAGGAGAACUAAACAAAUUAUAUUUUGUUAAUUAAACCAUUUAAUACAUUCGACUACUCUAUACAUCCUUGGCUUUUAGAGGAGGCCUUAUGUAUGUAAGCUUUUUCUAACUCUCUCCUUUACGAAUUCCUUGUGUUCAUAUUAAGAUUGAUUUUAGAUCAUUUUUUAUCGAUCGAUCUUUUGGAUAAUAUAAUUUUAGAGCAAUGUUUCAAUACACUAUGGGCGUGUUUGGUUCGCUUAUUUUUCACCAUAGAAUCGAAAUCGGAAUGGGUGAAUUCGUUUGUAGGUGUUUGGUACGUGGGAGUCUCAUUCCGAUUCCGAUUCCCGAGUGGAAUGGGAAUCCCCCAAUCACCUCAUUUUUCAAUCCGACCUAGGAGACCGGAUUAGAAGUUGAAUCAGGACGGAAUGGAUAUUUAUUCGGAUUAAAUUUAUUUUUUCUACUUUUUAAUUACAAUAUGAGUUUAAACUUAGAAAUUAAAUUUUAAAUUUUAAAUUUUAAUUUGAACUUGAAUUAAAAAUUAAAAUUUAAUCAAGUAUUUUGAAUCUAACUUAUGAAUUUGAAUUUAAAUUAAAUUUUAAUUUAUAUAAAAUUUUAUUCAAAUUUUAUUUAAAACUUAAAUUAAAUUUAUGGAUUCAAAUUAAAAUUUAAAUUGUAAUUUUAAGUUUGAAUUUGAAUAAAUCAAAAUUUAGUUUUAUAUUUUGAAUUAUUUACUCAACUUCAAAGUUUAAUUUUUUUAAAGAAAUAGAUUUAAAAUUUUGAUAUUAUUUCAAAAUUUUGAUGUAAAUAUUUAAUAUUUAAAUUUUAAUUUGAAUUUAAAUUAAUAUAUUAUAAAGAUAAAGUUAGCAUAUUAAUCCGAUUACGUUUUUUAUAUUUACCUAAACCAAACACCAACAAUGGGAAUGAUUUAUUCCGAUUCCGAUUCAGGUGAUGAACCAAACAGAGUUAAGUAAUAAGUCAUUCCGAUUCCGAUUCCGAUUCCAGCUUAUUUCGAUUUCGAUUCCGAUUUCGAUUCCGACUUCGAACCAAACAUGCCCUUAAGUAUUAAAAUCAAACUCUUAAUUAGUAAAGGGUAUAGUUGGAUUUUACAUAAGGUAACCUAUUGAAUAGGUUACCGAUUUGAAUUAGUUAAUAUGACAAUAUUGGAAAAAAAUUAGUAGUAUAUACAAAUUUGUUAGUAUCCUAUAAUAUUAAGUAUCUUUUUUAGUUUUGUUACUUACCAAAUUAGAUAAUACUCAAUUUGUUAUUCAACUCAAAAAAAUAUUGAAUUUAAAUUUAAGUUUUGAAGUUGGUAUUGUAAUGUAAAAUUUUAAUUUCAAAAUUUAUAUUAAAUUUUUAAAUUUUGAAUCUACAUUGCACUUUUAAUCUGUAAGCCAAAUUUUAAUUUUUGAUUUAAAUUAAAAUUUUGAAUUUGAACUGAAAGUUUUAUUUUAAAUUUGUGUUUUAUAUUUAAAAGUUGAAUUUGAUUUAUAAUUAAGUUUUUUAUGUUGUUUUGUAUUUAAAUUUACAGUUUAGUUGUAAUUUGAAUUCCAACUAUUGUUGUAGGUAUUUGAAAAGGUUAUAGUAUUCUUAGUUGGAUAAAACCUAUCUUGUAGGCCAAAAUAUUUUUCUAAGACCAAAAUACCCUUUAAAUAGGUAUCUGGUGAAUGGUACUUAUGCCAAAAUAGUAGGUCGCCUUGAUUUACAUGGUGUAUUGAGGUAUUAUUCUUUUUUUUUUUUUUUUGAGAGAAAGGUAGCAUGUUACCCGCUUCGUUUUUUCAUUUAUAAAUAAACUUGGCUGAAAAUGUGAAUCAAUUAGGAUUCGAACUUGGGUCUCGGGUACCAACCACCAAGCCCUUUUGCCACUUGCGCUAGGGACAGUCGGUUAUUACUCAUAAUAUUAAAGCAGAUGCAAAGUUUCUCCUAUUUGAAAAUGGCAUAUAUACGUUGAGUAGGGUUAUUGUGCUAUUAGAAGCACAUAAGUCCUUGUGCUCUUAAUUUUCUAAUUAUUCAUUAAUUUUGAUGGAUGGUUAAAGAUGAGAGAGAAAAGAAAUUGAAAAAAAAAAUUAAAAAGAAGAGAAAUUGAGACACUCAAAUUCUUCUUAAUUUUUUUUCUCUCUUUCACCUUAACCAUUCGUCAAUUUAGAACGUUAGCAGCAUAAGGUCUCUAAUGAUUAUCGUUAUUGCUCUACGCACAAAAAAUU